UAGGUUUUUUUAUUAAAUUUAAAGAUAAGUUUAAGUUUUUUAAAUGGAAACAUAAAUAUCUGCAAAGAAUCCAUUUUUAGAUUCGAAAAAAUCUGUUUUCAACAUGGCGAUCAAACAGCGAAAAAAGAUCAAAAAUAUAAUACACCUAUAACGUAUUAAAGCAUCAUUUUUCUACAAUUUUUUGCUUAACCAAGGCUUUGGGGCACCUUGAUCAAUAUGUUAUGCUAAGUAGUUUAUGAAAUGUGUGCAGGUGGUCACGUCUUUAUGUGUGGUGAAUGGACGCAGUGGAGUGUGCAAACAUCAAUUGAUGCAGUCUAAGACGCAGCGAAGUGUACAUACAUCAACAGAUUUGGCCACACACAGUGUUCAUACAUCGACUAAGGAUUUUGAUGUGUUUUGAUUACUCCUCAGUAUAGUUAAGAUACAAAGUAAUACUACAGCAUUAUUACAGUCUAUACAAUACUAAAAAUCAAAACAAGCUUUUAACUGUAACAAGAUUGGCUAAAUGCAUUUUCAAAAUUUUUACAAUAGUUGGAAACAAGCAUUUUUGUAAUUUAGCAAGGAAAUUAAUUUGCUGUGUUGAUUCGCUGAACAUUGAUGCAAUAUGUCAACUUCUUCAGAAAAGUAUUAAGUGCUCUUUAUUACAAUUGUCUUGCAAAUAAGUUAUUUCUCAAACUUUUCCAUAUUUUUAUAUAAAUUAACAUCCAUCGGCAACAUAAAAGGAAACUACUCAUAAACACAACAGAAAACAAAAAAUUAAAUGAAAACAAUUAAAAUUACAUCCAUCGGUAACAUAAAAGUAAACUACACAUGAACACAACAGAAAUCAAAAAAAUAAAAAAUAAAACAAUUUAAUGAACACAACAUAAAAGAAAACUACACAAAAACACAACUCAAAACAAAAUAUUAAAAAAUAAAACAGUUAAACGAACGCAACACAAAAAGAAAACUACACAUGAAGACAACAUAAAAGAAAGCUACACUUGAACACAACGUAAAAGAAAAUUACACAUAAACACAGCAAAACAACACGUUGUAUCUUUACAGCAGAAAUAAAUCAAAGAAAAGGAAAAUAGAACCACACUACUUUACACUUUUCGAAGCAAUCAUUCAAAUCAAACAACUUAUGAUGAAUUUGCAGAAGAACUGUCAAAGAAUACUGAACCCGUCAUUUCGAAAAGGACACAAUUCCAAAUCUUUUAACAUUGUCGUUAUAAAUCUAAAUUAAAAAUUUCUGUAUGAUUUGUGUUUUUUUUUUUAUAAAAAAGAAAACUCAUAAAA